AACGAACGCUGGCGGCAGGCUUAACACAUGCAAGUCGAGCGCAUCCUUCGGGGUGAGCGGCGGACGGGUGAGUAACGCGUGGGAACGUGCCCUCUUCUACGGAAUAGCCUCGGGAAACUGAGAGUAAUGCCGUAUACGCCCGCAAGGGGAAAGAUUUAUCGGAGGAGGAUCGGCCCGCGUUGGAUUAGGUAGUUGGUGGGGUAACGGCCUACCAAGCCGACGAUCCAUAGCUGGUUUGAGAGGAUGAUCAGCCACACUGGGACUGAGACACGGCCCAGACUCCUACGGGAGGCAGCAGUGGGGAAUCUUGGACAAUGGGGGCAACCCUGAUCCAGCCAUGCCGCGUGAUCGAUGAAGGCCUUAGGGUUGUAAAGAUCUUUCAGCUGGGAAGAUAAUGACGGUACCAGCAGAAGAAGCCCCGGCUAACCCCGUG
rnacentral:rRNA from 1 species